rnacentral:rRNA from 1 species
UACGAACUGUGCAAACGUUAUUCGGAAUCACUGGGCUUACAGGGUGCGUAGGCGGCUUGUUAAGUAGGGUGUGAAAGCCCCCGGCUCAACCGGGGAAUGGCGCCCUAAACUGGCGAGCUGGAGUGAGAUAGGGGUGUGCGGAACUUCCGGUGGAGCGGUGAAAUGUGUUGAUAUCGGAAGGAACGCCGGUGGCGAAAGCGGCACACUGGAUCUCAACUGACGCUGAGGCACGAAAGCCAGGGGAGCGAACGGGAUUAGAUACCCCGGUAGUCCUGGCUGUAAACGAUGAGCACUAGCUGGGAGGGACGUAGGUCCUUCCCAACGGAGCGAAAGUGUUAAGUGCUCCGCCUGGGGAGUAUGGUCGCAAGGCUG